UCCCUCAUAGCUCAGUGGGUAAAGAAUCUGCCUGAAAGGCAGGAGACUCGGGUUCGAUUCCUGGGUUGGGAA
rfam:TPA: Bos taurus chromosome 10, whole genome shotgun sequence.